UGGUGGAGUGACUUGUCUGGUUAAUUCCGUUAACGAACGAGACCUUAACCUGCUAAAUAGUUACAUGUAACUCCGGUUACAUGGGCAACUUCUUAGAGGGACUUUGCGUGUCUAACGCAAGGAAGUUUGAGGCAAUAACA
rnacentral:rRNA from 1 species